AGAGUUUGAUCAUGGCUCAGGACGAACGCUGGCGGCGUGCUUAACACAUGCAAGUCGAGCGGAAAGGCCCUUUCGGGGGUACUCGAGCGGCGAACGGGUGAGUAACACGUGAGUAAUCUGCCCUUGGCUUUGGGAUAACUACCGGAAACGGUGGCUAAUACCGGAUACGACGCACUCAGGCAUCUGAUGUGUGUGGAAAAGUUUUUUCGGGCCAGGGGAUGUGCUCGCGGCCUAUCAGCUUGUUGGUGGGGUAAUGGCCUACCAAGGCUUCGACGGGUAGCCGGCCUGAGAGGGUGACCGGCCACACUGGGACUGAGACACGGCCCAGACUCCUACGGGAGGCAGCAGUGGGGAAUAUUGGACAAUGGGCGGAAGCCUGAUCCAGCAACGCCGCGUGAGGGAUGACGGCCUUCGGGUUGUAAACCUCUUUCAGUACCGACGAAGCGCCGAUGAUGGUGGUGACGGUAGGUACAGAAGAAGCACCGGCCAACUACGUG
rnacentral:rRNA from 1 species